AGCGGCAGACGUGAGUAACGCGUGGGAACGUACCUUUUGGUUCGGAACAACACAGGGAAACUUGUGCUUACCGGAUAAGCCCUUACGGGGAAAGAUUUAUCGCCGAAAGAUCGGCCCGCGUCUGAUGCUAGUUGGUGAGGUAACGGCUCACCAAGGCGACGAUCAGUAGCUGGUCUGAGAGGAUUCAGCCACAUUGGGACUGAGACACGGCCCAAACUCCUACGGGAGGCAGCAGUGGGGAAUUGGACAAUGGGCGCAAGCCUGAUCCAGCCAUGCCGCGUGAGUGAUGAAGGCCCUAGGUGUAAAGCUCUUUUGUGCGGGAAGAUAAUGACGGUACCGCAAGAAUAAGCCCCGGCUAUUCGUGCCAGCAGCCGCGGUAAUACGAAGGGGGCUAGCGUUGCUCGGAAUCACUGGGCAAAGGGUGCGUAGGCGGGUCUUUAAGUCAGGGGUGAAAUCCUGGAGCUCAACUCCAGAUGCCUUUGAUACUGAAGAUCUUGAGUUCGGGAGAGGUGAGUGGAACUGCGAGUGUAGAUGAAAUUCGUAGAUAUUCGCAAGAACACCAGUGGCGAAGGCGGCUCACUGGCCCGAUAGACGCUGAGGCACGAAAGCGUGGGGAGCAAACAGGAUUAGAUACCCUGGUAGUCCACGGUAAACGAUGAAUGCCAGCCGUUGGGAAGUUUACUUCUCAGUGGCGCAGCUAACGCUU
rnacentral:rRNA from 1 species